rnacentral:lncRNA from 1 species
AAGGAAGUGAUUCAUUAGAAAACUCAGGGGCCCUUCUGUAGCUUCUGUUGCAGUGUAGAAUGUUUGCGUGUUUUCCUUUCAAGAAGCUGACAUCCCAUUGUAUCUUUUUCCCUCCCCUAGAUUUUUCUACCUCCUCUGCUAGAGAUGGUGCAGGUGCCAGGGAGACACUUGGUUUUGUGCUGCUGUGUCUGAUAGAUCAGAUCCCAGUUCUCAAGAUGGAGAUGGAGUGUCUACCUCUGUGCAGCAUCCUUUGUGCUGGCUUGAAGUGGAAUAGCCUCCAUCUUCCAGCAUUUGGUGCCAAGAUACCCUACUUCCAUAUAGAUGGAGGAGAAAUCUUGUCCUGUGAAGGACCUGCCCCAUGUGCUUUUGAAGCUAUUCAAAUGGUCCAUUCUUGGUUGCCUUCAGCAUCAAAUUUUCGGGUAUGUUGAAUUUAGUUAUCUAUGUGGAAAGUAAUCUGAUUAGUUUGAGAAUGAAAGAUAUUAGAAGAAAGCUUCCUGUUGACUUCAGUUAGCUUUAGGUCAUAAGCACCCAGCUUUGUAGUAUUGAUCAAGAAGAGCAAGUAUUUCCUCUUUAAUCACUGAAUCAAUGAAUUAAGAGCUUUGAUUAUUGCAAGAUUUGCAUGAGAGCUUUAAAUACUGAUUUUUAAAGGUGCAUUAUUCUGUUCAUGCACUUAGAUUUCAAUGAAUUGAAUUAAGUAAUUGUUAAUUUUAGAGGUUGGCAUGCAAAAAUAUUUUUUAUUAUAAAAUAAACUAUCUUGUAAUAAGCAAUGUUUCAUGCUUUACUUUUCCAUUCAACAGAUGUAGCAUUUGUAGAAGCAAUAACUGAUGGAAUACAUGUCACAAAAAGCAUGUGGUAG